rnacentral:rRNA from 1 species
CCUACGGGAGGCAGCAGUCGAGAAUUAUUCACAAUGGGGGAAACCCUGAUGGUGCGACGCCGCGUGGGGGAAUGAAGGUCUUCGGAUUGUACACCCCUGUCAUGUGGGCGCAAAUUAAAAAGAUAGUACCACAAGAGGAAGAGACGGCUAACUCUGUUCCAGCAGCCGCGGUAAUACAGCGGUAUCAAUCGUUGUUCGGCAUCCCUGGGCGUAAAGCGUGCGUAGGCUGUUUCGUAAGUCGUGUGUGAAAGGCGCGGGCUCAACCCGCGGACGGAACAUGAUACUGCGAGACUAGAGUAAUGGAGGGGGAACCGGAAUUCUCGGUGUAGCAGUGAAAUGCGUAGAUAUCGAGAGGAACACUCGUGGCGAAGGCGGGUUCCUGGACAUUAACUGACGCUGAGGCACGAAGGCCAGGGGAGCGAAAGGGAUUAGAUACCCGGGUAGUC